CCAACCUUCCAUCCUAAGUGUUUUCUGUCCAGUGCUGUGAGACUUGCACAGAGAAGACCCCCGGGCUUCAGGAGGGGCAUCCUAGGUUCUUCCUUGGAUGUGGAAACAACAUCACCGGUUUUUUCAUAUUUUAUAUUUACUAGGUUCAGAAUCUGCUAAUGGAGUUUUACGGUAUAUCUACCUAUCAUAUAUUUAAGAACUUCAUCCCUUGUUACUGGGACUUAUGGUGAUUAUUAAAAGUACCAACAGAUAGCCACUGUGAUGUCCGCAAUACUAUGGCAAUCCCAGUAAAGACAUAUGAAAUAGGUAGCGUCUAGAUUCUCUUCGUGCAGAGGACCUUUCCCAUAAUCCCCUGGGUCCAUGUCACAAUCUAUUUGGAAUAGAAAAGUGUGGCGAGCGAAGCGGAGCGGAGCGAGACACCGAGCCCGAUGCGUGGCGAGCGAAGCGAGCCCGCGAGGGUCCAAUGCUGCAUAGAGGAAAAAAAAUACCCCAAACGAACGGAGAACGAAGAAAACAUUUAGGAGCUGUAAGGGCGGAAGUUGUCUCCUGCCCACUCGUUUUGUCACGUCCAGGUCCUUUGCACGAAGGCAACAUAGACACAACCAUAUGAAAUACACCGGACUCAGACUAUCGUACAGCCAGCUAUCCCCGUUACCAUGGAGACCGGGGGAGGAGCGGAUAAGGACUAGACGCAUUGAGGGUGACGCACGGUCGUCAUGAUGACCGCUAUGUAACAAGUCUCCCCAUUGAGCUAGUGAAGGAAAGUCAGGACUGCGGAAGUGACGUGACGUGGUAUAGCUCAGUUACCAUAGCUACGGGGGGAGGAGUGUCUAUAUGGAUAAGUAUUAUCCCCACGGGCCUUAAGGACCCCGGGGGGUGGGGGGGGGACUCCAUUUACAGUUGCACCUGGCGGAAGUGAUGUCAGGCUGGAGUUCCUGUUAUGUUAUGGUCGUCAUGACUACUGGGGGAACGUUACCAUUUUAAUGAAUUACAACUGUGUGUGGAUUAUUUUGAUUGGAUGGAAGGGGUUUUUAAACCCCACUGUGGAUUUUUAACUUAUUGCCUUGGAAUAGGGUCGAAACGCGUUGGAUAUUUCCGGGCUAUUUCUGGAUCUCCAUUGUUCCUGUGGACUGUUGGAGCUGACCUCUGCCGGAGUGAGAUGUUCCCAGAUUAUUUACCCGGGAGGAAAACUGGUGCCAUUUGAAAUCUUUGUUUGAACUGACUUAGGCCGGUUCACACUACCUCUGGUAAUUGUUCUGUGCUUCAGUAUCCACAGAUCGAUUGGAGUACAAUUUUAUAUUGUUUUUAUAUAUUCGUAUUGUGUGCAAAUUAAAUGUUAUGUUUCUGCACAUUAUUUGUUUUAUUCUUUCCCUCAUGUGCUGACCGCUGCAUAUUGGUAUGACACCAUCUG